rnacentral:rRNA from 1 species
AACGAACGCUGGCGGCAGGCUUAACACAUGCAAGUCGAGCGCCCCGCAAGGGGAGCGGCAGACGGGUGAGUAACGCGUGGGAACGUACCCUUUGCUACGGAAUAGCUCCGGGAAACUGGAAUUAAUACCGUAUGUGCCCUACGGGGGAAAGAUUUAUCGGCAAAGGAUCGGCCCGCGUUGGAUUAGCUAGUUGGUGGGGUAAUGGCCUACCAAGGCGACGAUCCAUAGCUGGUCUGAGAGGAUGAUCAGCCACAUUGGGACUGAGACACGGCCCAAACUCCUACGGGAGGCAGCAGUGGGGAAUAUUGGACAAUGGGCGCAAGCCUGAUCCAGCCAUGCCGCGUGAGUGAUGAAGGCCUUAGGGUUGUAAAGCUCUUUCACCGGAGAAGAUAAUGACGGUAUCCGGAGAAGAAGCCCCGGCUAACUUCGUG